rnacentral:lncRNA from 1 species
CAAAGCUCGUAGCUAGAGUUAGUCAUCAAUGUAGAAAGCAUUGCCUUAAAAAUGAAAGAAGUCAUGUUGAUACAAAAUGCUCCUGGCUUGUAAAACAACACGACGUCAAAGACAUGCAUGUUGAUUCCUUGAGUGUGCACAUAUACAUAAUAUAUCUUUAAAAAGAGAAAAGAAAACCGGAAGGCCAUAGCUUGCAUCAGGCAUCCAACAACGGACUUCAUGGUUAAUCCCCACCACUGACAACUAUUACAUGACCUCAUGAAUAAGUAAUCGGCCGAUUUGGGAGCCAGACAGAAUGAUGCUAUUUGCUGGCUCGGUUGGUGUUACUAGCAUUGCUGUAGGUGAACUAUGCCGGUCCUUUUGGUGGUUAAGCGAAAAACGUCGCUUUCCACCGUUUGUCAUCCUUCAAGAUUAUGUUCUGAUUCGUCUCGCUGCCUUAGCAGCUUACUUCGCGUAGAAAGACUCCUAAUUUAAGUAGACAUGGUCCAGGUGACGUUUAGUGGAAGAAAAUGGCCAGAUAAUCCACGAAUGGGUUUGAUAGGGUGUUUGACUUCAAUAAAAUCUCUCAUGGGUGUGCUGUUAUACAACAUGGGAACACUAAAAAAUAUUUCCAGUGGAACAUGGCCUUGAAUUUUCGUUUCCUCCAAAAUCUUAUGGUAAAAUCUUAUAUGAGUCAAAUUAAUGGAAGUGAAGCUGAAGGAAUCCCGUUCAAACCCGAACAGUGGGAAUGAUAUCCCUGAUGAAGCAUACAUAUAUAAAUAGUUGCUGCAUGCCAGCCAGCAGAGUACAUCGUUUCAACAAUUUUUUGAUCAUGCAUUUUACCUUGAUUUGACUUAUAAAAGGACAUCAAAAGCAUGAAGGUAACUUGCAAUUAUAAAUUGCCUGUUUAGACCUUCAAACUUUUUUUGUCAGGAUUCCAUAGUAGAAAGCUACUGGAUAAAUGAUCUGCUCAAACUACCCAUUGG